rnacentral:rRNA from 1 species
ACGAACGCUGGCGGCGUGCUUAACACAUGCAAGUCGAACGGUAAGGCCCCUUCGGGGGUACACGAGUGGCGAACGGGUGAGUAACACGUGAGCAACCUGCCCUUGACUCCGGAAUAACAGUUGGAAACAGCUGCUAAUACCGGAUAUGACUCUGUGCGACAUCACACGGAGUGGAAAGCCCUGGCGGUCAAGGAUGGGCUCGCGGCCUAUCAGCUUGUUGGUGAGGUAACGGCUCACCAAGGCUUCGACGGGUAGCCGGCCUGAGAGGGCGACCGGCCACACUGGGACUGAGAUACGGCCCAGACUCCUACGGGAGGCAGCAGUGGGGAAUAUUGCACAAUGGGCGAAAGCCUGAUGCAGCAACGCCGCGUGCGGGAUGACGGCCUUCGGGUUGUAAACCGCUUUCAGUAGGGACGAAGCGAAAGUGACGGUACCUACAGAAGAAGGACCGGCCAACUACGU